rnacentral:lncRNA from 1 species
CCUUGAUAUUGGCCCCCUUUAAAUCUUUUGUCUCAUUUCCUUCUAAUAACACCCACCUCUGGGAGAAGACAUUAUCAGUGUUUAUGGAUUAAAAGGAAAACAAAAUGCCUGAUUUUUGAGAGCUUAACUAGCUGGCCGAGUAAACCUAAGAGGUUUAAUGCAUGCAUGAAUUAAGUUCUGCAAGCCUUCAAGGAAGCUUUCAAACCAAUGAACUCUAAAUGGUGUGGAAAGGAAAAUGCACACUUUGUAUUUAGGCCACCCACAAAUAUGCAUUAGUGAGGAAGCAUCGUAUAGCUGUGGGAUGCAAACUUUUUCUGAAAUCCUUUCGGCUUUGCAAUUCAUACCAUCUGCACUGCAACUUCUCAACUCAUGCUGUAGCAUGAAAACACCACAGACAACGUUUAAAUGGAUGGAUAUGUUUGUGUUCCAAUGAAACUUGAUGUUUGCACUCUGUCAUUUGAGUUUCAUGUAAUUUUUAUGUGUCAAGAAAUAGUCUCCUUUUGUAUUUAAAAAAUCAUUAAAAAUAUAAAAUCAUUCUUAUCUUACAGACCAUACAAAAACAGAAGGCAGGCUGGAUUUAGUCUAGGAGUGGUCACUUGCAAACCCUGUUGUAUACUAAUAGUGGAGAGACUAUGAGUUUGAGGGUAUUUAGACUUGAUUUUCUAUCUUGAUUCUGUUGCUAUUAAGUAAAUUAACUUAUGCAUGGCUUCACCACUCCCCAGGGCCUUAGUGUUCUCUUCUAUAAAAUAAGGUUAUGAUACUUAUCUCAGAGGGCUAUUGAUAGGAUUACAUGAGGAUUACAUUUAUUUC